UACGAGGGGGGCUAGCGUUGUUCGGAAUUACUGGGCGUAAAGCGCGCGCAGGCGGCUAUCCAAGUCAGUGGUGAAAGCCCGGAGCUCAACUCCGGAACUGCCAUUGAAACUGUUUAGCUUGAGGACGAGAGAGGUGAGUGGAAUUCCCAGUGUAGAGGUGAAAUACGUAGAGAUUGGGAAGAACACCAGUGGCGAAGGCGGCUAUCUGGACGGUUUCUGACGCUAAGACGCGAAAGCGUGGGGAGCAAACAGG
rnacentral:rRNA from 1 species